AAGGCAAGAAACGAAGUUCUAUUGAGGGGGAAGUCUCCAGAUGUGAUUAAGGUAACUAACAGAGCUUAUCAGUUGCAGGAAGAGUUUAGCAAUAUACAAGUUACUAGUUGCUACUAAUGGCGCCAGAAACGGAGAAACAGCCCUUGAGGCGUCCUCCAAGAGCAGCCUAGGCCAUUAUCACAUAUGCAUCCUGUAUGGACCAUAGUAAAACAGCUCAGUGCUUUUACAUGACAAGCUGCUGUGUAGAAAAUUCAUUGUCAAUCAGCUCUGGUUAUGGAAGCAGAAGCAUCGAGGGAGGCAGUCAAAUUAGCUAAAGGUCCGAAGUUUUCAAAAUUUAGAUUUGAGUUGGACUCUUAAGUGGUAGCUAAUAGCUGCAAAUGAUGGAUGAGAUCAUCAGUUUAGGCAGAGAUUCUGUUAUGUGUAAUUUUAAUUAUAUCAGCAGAGAUGCGAAUAAUGCUGCUGACUGGAUUUCAAAGAAUUACAUCUUAUGUUAUCUGCCAGGAUGAUGGCUAAACCCACAUCCAAGUUCAGCCAAGAUCCUAUCUACUGAUGUAUCUUUCUCCUCUCAGUAAUUAAAUUCUUCAUUGUGUAAAAAAUAACUCAUAUUCAAACAGAUGGAAAAGAAAAAAUAGUAUUGAUUAGAUAAUUUAUUUAUUUACAAUAAAGUAAUGUACAAACCUCAGUUCGCAUGAAAAUCGCAGCUGUAACACAAAUGCAGCAAUGCAGAUGUAUUUUUCUCUAUGCUUCAGUACAAGGAUACAAAAAAGAACUAGCUGCAAAGUAGCGUAUCGCGUGUAGCAUUUCCAGUUGUUGGAUUCACCCUGACAAGUGACAAGAAAUGGUUAGUUCUUUUCCCCAUGGACAAUGAAAGGCCAAUCUUAUUCAAAAUAUGCGACCAAUCAGAAAGUGGUUUGGUUGGUAAUCUAACUUGUAAGA
rnacentral:lncRNA from 1 species